rnacentral:tmRNA from 1 species
GGGGAUGAUCGGUUUCGACAUCGUCUUCGAAUCUGCGAGAAGCGGGCCGAGGAUGCAGGGUUAUCUCGUUAACGAUCUCUGCAAAACAAUAAGUGCCGAUGCAAAGCGCACUGACUUCGCCCUCGCUGCGUAAGCGAGCCUGAAGUCCGUCAGACCGUAGGCGUUCCCGCUACGGACCCUGGCGUCAUCUAGGGAACUUGCUGCGUGACGGCGUCUGGACGUCACGUGGGACUCUUCCCAGGCUGGGC